rnacentral:rRNA from 1 species
AGUGAACGCUGGCGGUAGGCCUAACACAUGCAAGUCGAACGGCAGCACAGUAAGAGCUUGCUCUUACGGGUGGCGAGUGGCGGAUGGGUGAGGAAUACAUCGGAAUCUACUUUUUCGUGGGGGAUAACGUAGGGAAACUUACGCUAAUACCGCAUACGACCUACGGGUGAAAGCAGGGGAUCUUCGGACCUUGCGCGAUUGAAUGAGCCGAUGUCGGAUUAGCUAGUUGGCGGGGUAAAGGCCCACCAAGGCGACGAUCCGUAGCUGGUCUGAGAGGAUGAUCAGCCACACUGGAACUGAGACACGGUCCAGACUCCUACGGGAGGCAGCAGUGGGGAAUAUUGGACAAUGGGCGAAAGCCUGAUCCAGCCAUACCGCGUGGGUGAAGAAGGCCUUCGGGUUGUAAAGCCCUUUUGUUGGGAAAGAAAAGCAGCAGGUUAAUACCCCGCUGUUCUGACGGUACCCAAAGAAUAAGCACCGGCUAACUUCGUG